rnacentral:misc_RNA from 1 species
AAGUCGUAACAAGGUUUCCGUAGGUGAACCUGCGGAAGGAUCAUUAACAAAUUCAAACACAAAAACCCUGUUGCAAUGUUUUCCUUUCCCUUUUUUUUUUCUUCACCUCUCUUCACCUCUUUCUUUCUUUUUCAUUCAUCUCUCUUUUUUUGAAGAAGAAGGGAAUGAAUAGAAUGGAUUAGAUAGAUAUAUGAGGGAGGAUGAAUGUGUAUGUAGGAGGAAAAAAAGGGAUUGGAUAUCCUUUUUAAAUUAACUUUUGAUAGUCAGUCAAGAUGAAUUAAAUGUUAUAAACAACUUUUAACAAUGGAUCUCUUGGCUCUU